ACCAUAUCACAUUGAAACACCAGUCCCCAUAUGAUCACCGAAGUUAAGCAACGUUGAGCUUGGUCAGUACCUAGAUGGGUGACCACUUGGGAAUACCAGGUGCUGUAUG